rnacentral:rRNA from 1 species
UCCAGCUCCAAUAGCGUAUAUUAAACUUGUUGCGGUUAAAAAGCUCGUAGUUGGAUUUCUGCUGAGGACGACCGGUCCGCCCUCUGGGUGAGUAUCUGGCUCGGCCUUGGCAUCUUCUUGGGGAACGUAACUGCACUUGACUGUGUGGUGCGGUAUCCAGGACUUUUACUUUGAGGAAAUUAGACUGUUUAAAGCAGGCUUAUGCCGUUGAAUAUAUUAGCAUGGAAUAAUAAGAUAGGACUUCGGAACUAUUUUGUUGGUUUGCGUUACGAAGUAAUGAUUAAUAGGGACAGUUGGGGGUAUUCGUAUUUCGUUGUCAGAGGUGAAAUUCUUGGAUUUCCGAAAGACGAACUACUGCGAAAGCAUUUACCAAGGAUGUUUUCAUUA